AGCAAGUGCCUUAUAGUCUGAUUCAGGGAUGCAUAUCUCUCAUCCCAGACUACUUAGGAAAGCAAGGCAGGGGAGCAUUUCAGUAGUUCACUGCAGGCAGCAGGCUGAGAUACCAUCUCAAGAGAGACAGGAAAAAAGACAGGUCCCUAAGUGUAUUCAUACAAGUCCAUAGUGGCCUUGGAAAUUUAAAAAGUAAUAUUCCUAAUUAAAAAGUGUCUCUUUUUUUAAAGCAUAACACUUGCUUUUCCUUACUCUUUGUGUUGUUUUCUCUCUGCUUCUUUCACAAUUCCUACAAAUCUCUCUCUCUCUCUCUCUCUCUCUCUCUCUCUCUCUCUCUCUCUCUCUCUCUCUCUCUCUCUCUCGGUUUUUCAAGACAGGGUUUCUCUGUGUAGCCCUGGCUGUCCUGGAACUCACUUUGUAGACCAGGCUGGUCUCGAACUCAGAAAUCUGCCUGCUUCUGCCUCCCAAGUGCUGGGCAUGUGCCACCAUGCCUGGCACAAAUAACUCUUUGUUGUAACGCAUGUUUAUAGUAGAAUAUAGGACUGUUGUAAACUUGAGAUACCUUUUCUUCUUUGCAUAAGAGUUUUUAAUGGUUUACUUUUAUUGUUAUACUAUAUAUAUAUAUAUACAUACAUAAAUAUAUAUAUUGCAAAUAUGUGCUCACAUGUGAAAAGAGGCCAGAGUCAUCAGACCCCCUGGAGCAGGAGUUACAGGCAGUUAGUUGUAAGCCACCCAGCACUGGUGCUGGGAACCAAACUCAGGUCCUCUGCAGGAGCAGUGUGUGCCCUUAACCUUGAGACACUAUCUCUCCGACCUCAGAAUGUUGCCUCUUUUGUUUUUUUAAGUUGUUGUUUAGUGUUUUGUUAGUGUUGUGUUUGUGUGUGUGUGUGGUAUUGGUGCCAUGGUACUUAUAUAGAGGUCAUAGGACAAUUAGUGGGAAGUCCGUUCUUUCUUUGCACCAUAUCCUGGGAAACAACUUGAUACCAAACACAUUUACACACUGGGCCAUUUCACUGGCCCUUAAAAUGUAGUUUUAAGUAUUAUUUAAGCAUUAUGUUCAAUCUAAUCUCUUGGUUCUCAUUGUAAUAAAAAUCGCAGGGCAUGAAAAGUAAUCUACUUUUCUUACCUAGAAGCAUGUUUAGGUAAUAAAAACAAUAUAUUUUAUAAAUUAAGAAAUCAGGAGGCUUUACUAUAUUUGCAGGCACUUUCAAUAAUUUUAGCACAAUUAAAAAGAAUCCACGUAUGGUGGCCCAUGCCAGUAGGACAUGCUCAAAAGGCAGAGGCAGUAGAAUCAUGGAUAUGAGGUCAGACUUGGCUAUACAUUGUCUUUUCUGCCUUUAACAUUAAUAAAAAGGAAUUUUUUAAAGUUAUCCUGAAUUCCUCUAUACUUAUUUAAAAAGUAAAAAAAAUGUUCAUUUUCUAAAUUAUAUAUGGAAUUUGACAAGCAGCUUCGAGCAUAUGAGAGGGAUCAGGGCUUGCUGAUCAAGCUGCAUCCUCCUCAACCACGGCAGCAGAGGUGCUCACUCUAGAUGCUAACGGGCGUGUUCAGGAGAAGCUGAGGAAACCUCGAGGUUGCUAAAAGCAAACACUAUGAUUCUUCUUCCUAUCCUAAUGAGUCAGCAAUUUGUCAUUCAUCUGCAUCAGUUUGCUAGCAGGACAAUGUACUACAAGUUCAAAGGUUAGUUGUCGGGUAUGUCGGGCGUCUGAGGAGAUGGAAACGUGCGGAGCUGAACCUGUGACCCAAACCUGAGGCAGUGCCCGCUGGAGAACAGGCAAGGGCGUGUCCUCAGAAGAUGGCGUGGACAGCUGGUGUGAGUGUGCCAUCCAUCCAGGGUUGGGAAGGGUUGAGUAAACAGUGGGACAGUGACAGAGUACAGGGAUUAAUGGCUGAAAGCAUUCAGUGAUUCUUAAAACAGACAUUGAAGUAAAUGGAGGCAUUCUGAAGCUUUAGUUCUGAGGAACGAUAUAAGAAAACUUUCCUUUCCUUUGGAAACAAACUUCCUGCAGAAAGAGGACAAGAUAAAUGGAGCUUGCAGCCUCAAGUGCACUUUAUAUUGAAGAGACAUGAACUCACAUGGAGGAGUGUAUGCUGCCAUUUCUUAUAGAUGUUAAGCUAUCAGUGAGGCAGAGAAUAAAUAUUGUUAGAAAAGAACAC
rnacentral:lncRNA from 1 species